rnacentral:rRNA from 1 species
GACGAACGCUGGCGGCGUGCUUAACACAUGCAAGUCGAACGGAAAGGCCCUGCUUUUGUGGGGUGCUUGAUUGGCGAACGGGUGAGUAACACGUGAGUAUCCUGCCCUUGACUUUGGGAUAACUUCAGGAAACUGGGGCUAAUACCGGACAGCAGCUCCUGCUGCAUGGUGGGGGUUGGAAAUUUUCAGCGGUUUGGGAUGGACUCGCGGCUUCUCACCUUGUUGUUGAAGCAGUGGCUUACCAAGGCUUAGCCUGGUAUCCGACCGGAGAGUGUGACCGGCCAGAGUGGGACUGAGAUACGGCGCAGAGUCCUGGGGGAUGCAGGAGUGGGGAAUAUUGUACAAUGGGCGGAAGCCUGCUGCAGCAAGGCAGCGUUUGGGGUGACGGCCUUCGGGUUGUAGGCCGCUUUCGCCUGUAACGAAGCGUGAGUGUCGGUAAUGGAUAAAGAAGCAACGGCUAACUACGUG